UUAAAGAUUAUGUAUCCCAACUU
rnacentral:snRNA from 1 species